AUGGGAAGACUACGGAAAGCCUGUCCCAAGGAUGUCCCGCUUGUUUCUUCAGUUGAGAGUGUUGAUUCUUCAAAAGAACCUUUUGUGCCUAAUGAUUUUGCUGAUGAUAAUGCUAUGUAUUUGGAUUCUUCUGGUGAUGAUGAAGAGCUUGGCAAAGCACUUUACAAUUUCUAUGUGAAAAAUAAAGUCAAGCACCUGAAGAGGAAAUUGUCUUCUAUUAGUAGAAUGAAUGUUAGGCAGAAACGAUCUUCUGAUUUCCCUGUUUGUUCGACGUUCACUCGAUACUCUGGAAAGUUCUUCUCGGGAGUUGUUGAUGGCAUGUGUUCUAGGUACAAGGAUGUUAUUCAGACGUAUGGCAUGGGCUAUCUCCUUAAUUUUGUCCGGACCGAGGUUCCUCUUAGGCUAGUUAAGUGGCUUGCAUCUAGGUUCGACGUUCCUGCUUCCGAGUUUCAGUUGAAAAGGAAAUUCAUACCCUUAACUAAGUAUGAUAUCCAUGACAUCCUUGACCUCCCAGUAGAUGGUGAGCCACUUGUUUCAGAUCCUGAGGCUGGUCGUGAUUUUAUCCUCUCUCAUUUCAAUCUUACCAGUAUCCCACCAGUGUCCUUUUUUGCCAACAAGCUUAAAUCUGUAGAAGUUGAUUUUCUUGAUGAGGACGUCUUCAUUUGUUUCAUGAUUGUGGCUUUCUCUACUUUCCUUUGUCCCAACUCUAGCAUCAGUCCUAGUCCAAAGUACCUCCACAUCUUUCAGGAUUGUCAGUCUGUGCGUUCCUAUGAUCUUUCUAGUUUUGUUUACGAGUGGCUUUUGUGUAGCAUCAAAAAAUUCAAGGAUGCUACUAAAGUUGCCUCCAAAAGAUCAAUGACCUUCGGUGGAUGCCAUUAUGCAUUUACUGUAGCUUACCUUGAUCAUUUGAACUUUGGGCUUCAGUAUGUACCUGAUGUGAAACCUCGCAGUAAGAGUUUUGAUUUUGGCCCUUCUGAUGGUUCUUUUGCAAUGAAAGUUCAAAGAACUAUUUGCCCUCACUUUGGAUCUCAGAUUGCUCUUGAAGUCAUUGAGCUUGUUCAGACUAGAAACCAAGAUAAACCUAAGAUAUUCAUUGAUUGGGCAGAGUCUCUUGUUUUAAAUGUUCUGGAAUGUGUGUUGAAUUCAUCUAUGCCCAAAGUGUCUGGAAGCGAGCAUCAGUCUAUGAGCAAAUUCUCUUUUGGUAACAAGUCUGUCUCAUUUCAUUCUGCUAUCGCCAAUGGUGUCUUUGCUAAAUCUGAUGGUAUUCCAGAGGUUGCUAUAUCUGAUGCUAUUCCGGAGGUUGCUAAAUCUGAUGUUGCCCCAGAGGUUCCUACGUCUGAUGGUAUUCCAGAGGUUGCUACAUCUGAUGGUAUUCCAGAGGUUGUUGUACAGCAAGAGAGUCGUCAUGCGGUCACUCCAGAUGUCGUUACUCCCAUUGUACCUCCUGCUGUUAUCUUUGGUGGUUUACAUAAUCCAGUUGUUCUAUCUAGCUCUUCAACACCUGCUAAAGUGCGUAAUGAGGCUGUUGCAAAAGAAGGUCCUGUUCCAGUAUGCGCCUUGUUUUCUGAAGUUAAAACAAAAGAUUCAAUUGUUGCAGUUCCUGCCAAAUGUAUUUCUCCUUCAAAGUCUAAAUGUGAUAUCACUGAUGUCGAUUCUUUCGUGUUGCUUUCAGAUGGCCCUGCUAAGGAUUGUAAUGAGGAAGAUGUUGUUAAUGCUUUUGGGAUUCCUUCCUUUGCCGAGCUUAAUCGUGCUCUUGGUAUUCAGUCACCUUCUAAUGUCUGCAAUUACACCCCAGUUCACGCUCAUGGAAAAUCUCCUAUGGAAGAUACAAAUUCUUUUAGAGACCUGUCACCCCUUGUUCCAAUUCGCUUGUCGCAGUAUUUCCGUAAUGAGUUGGGUGAUGUCCAGUGUUCUCAGUAUGUUGCCGACAGAUAUCUGAAGUCGUUUAAUUCACCUAAUGACGAGGAUUGUAUUGUUAUGGUUAAUGUCGAUCACUCUGAUUAUUCAAAGCCAACCAAUCAUGUGAACUUAUGUUCUCCUGAUGUAAUCUUGCAAACUACUCCAAAAGCUGUUGUGAAGCUCAAUGAGGCAGUAGUUGAUGUCCAUAAAAUUGGUAGCUCAAACUUUGCAGCUAGGUGUCAAGAGCUAUCUAGAUCAAAUGAUGUUACUUACAACAAGCUGCACAGUUUUACUGCCCCUGCAACAAGUUAUCGUAAUCCUGUAAAGGUUGCUAAUAGCCCGGAAUUAGAGAUCCUGUCAGACACGCCUAUUGUUUCUAGUGCUCAUCUUUCUAAGGUUCCUGCAUGUUCAAAAGGUGCUCCAUCAUUUCAGCCCCUUGGUGGUUCUACAACUAGGUCUUCUGCAGCUCAUGUCCCUCGUAGAAUUGUUGUCCCUGGUAGAUUCAACUCAGAUCCUUAUGUUCCUCAAGGGAAUCGUUAUUCAGUUACUGCUCAAGAAAGGCGUAAUCAUCUUGCAAUGGUUCAGAUUGCAAGUCAUCCAGAGUGGUGCAAGUACGAGGCUAUCCGAUAUGAAAGAGCUUACUGUAGUUAUAGUAACCUUUCUUCACUACAGUUCAAAUCUCGCGUAGACAAUUUCUUGAUCUUGUGUGUGUGUCGAUAUCUAUUCAAUGAAGCUCACCCUUCCGUUUCUAAGAAACAUUUCUUCUUCUCUUACAUUGGUGAAACAAUUCUGGAUGGUACUAAUGCUGAGAUUGUUGGUAAUGCUUUCAAUGGUGCUAAUAGCGCUUUUCCUAUGUGGAGAAGCAACAUGGAGAAACUGUUUGUCUUCCUCGAUUCAUUAUAUGGCGAGUUCUCCGAUUUCCACCUAGCCAUUCGUGAUCCGAUUGUUAACAACUUCAUCAAUCUAUGGGACACAUAUGUGACUCCUAUAUUGAGGAAGCGUAUUGACUUUCAAAAUUUCGACAUUGUGUAUCCUGCGGUCCCGCAGCAAAAUAACACGUAUGAUUGUGGUGUUUUCUCUGUUAUGUACAUGAAGCACUGGUCUCCUAGGACUCCAAUUGGCAAUCUUUUUACGCAAGCUGAUAUAGAUAACAUCAGGAUCAAGCUCGCAAAUGAACUUUAUUUCAGCCAUUUCAACACUACUGACAAGUCUCUUGUCACAAACUUCUUUGGUGACGUGCAGAACUAG
rnacentral:rRNA from 1 species